rnacentral:sRNA from 1 species
AUUUUUUUGAUGCAUUUGGUUAGUACCUUCAGGAGAUAAGUAUAAAAAGCUGAGUGAAGUGGAUUUUGGCUUUGAGAGUACAUCACUAUACUCGACCACAGAGCAAUGAAAAAUACUCAACCAUGUUUUAGCUUAUCCACGCGAGGAGAUCACUCAACCGCGGUGCUGGCCGCAGCAAAAGAAGGGAGGUCGAGUAUCCUUAGAGCGGUGCUGGCCGCAGCAAAAGAAGGGAGGUCGAGUAUCCUUAGAGCGGUGCUGGCCACCACAGAGCUGAUGAGGUCGAGUAUCCACCUGCUGGAGCUUAUACAGAACAGGGCGGCUUGUCUAUGGCCUGGGAGCAAUCACAGCAGCCAUUGACGACCAACUCCAUUCAUUCUUCGACUGAGGUAAGCGCCUCACUUCACCAUUGUAUUAUAUCAUCUCUUGUGAUUUGUUCUUUAUUUUGUUUCGGUGAUUGGGUUUGUCCUGAGUACUCUCUUCCAAGUUUAUUCACACAGUGGACUGUGUGAUUUAAGUUUGGGGGAGGGCUCAGGAAGUGUGUGUUGCAUUGUAUUUACUCUUGAGUCUGCACUCAUUUAAGGCAUAGAAAAACCAAAAACAUUUGAAAAAUUUCAGAAAAUGAUUUCACAAAAACAGAGUGUUCAUGUAGUUGCAUUACAUUUAGGAUUGAGUCUAGAGUGUUUCAUUUAGGAUUGUUGCAUAUGCAUAGGGGAUAAUGAUGAGAUAGCCUUGUAAGCAUUUUGGUUCACCGGAUAAACUCAGUGCCCUCGUUUCUAGUUGUUUGUUGCGUAGUCAAUGAAAUUGAAGUAAAACUGAACCAUGCCUAGAUUGCUCUACUCGACCAUACUGUCAUGAUUUGAUACCAUUCCCUAUCAGUUUGAACCUGAAUCUGAUCCUUAAUUAUCAUGUCUGCAUCAAAUUUGAACUCAUGGAUACCCUAAAAUACUUGGAUUUUCUUAUUCAUUUUGAUCACUCUUGUUAAUCCAAGUAGCUGACUCUCCUUAUUAGAGCAGUUAACCCAAACCCAAACCUAGACUUUCUUUCAAGCCCUAUAUCACUCGUGAGUGUUUGUGAGGUCUUAUUCCGAUUAAGCUUGGUAGAAAGUGUUAGGUUUGUAACGACAGAGAUAGUGUCUCAUGUAGUUCUAGUUCGCAUUUUUCGGACUAGAUAGGACUAGGUGGGUGCUUAUACUUUGGGUUGGGAUGUGUUUAAAAGGAAAAAAAAA